UUUCUUUUUCUGCAUCCGCUGCUCUGUUAAGUGAUCACCACAUUCAUUGUUCUCGUUUCUAUUAUUUCUGAAAAAAAUCUUCAGGAUUCUGCUUGUGGGAGUGGAUGACAUUUUUACAGUGUUUACAGGCUGAAAAUUUUUCGAGCUUUUAUGCUCUGCUUCCGUUAUAAGGAGGAGGCCUCACAAUCCUGGUGGAAGGCAAGGAGGAGCAAGUCACAUCUUAUGUGGAUGGCAGCAGGCAAAGAAAGCUUAUGCAGACACAAAAUGAACAAGAUGUCUGUGGCAACCCUCAGACCAUUGACGCCUUCUCUCCUAUGUAUCAAAUCACACAUUUGGACGUUGACUGAACCCUCACAUGUCAGAUGCUCAAUAUUGAGGUAUAGUAAAAGGGAGCAUGAACUUGAGAAAAUACGCUUUCAACACAAAGCUGUAAUAAUAUAAGGUCAAAUAAGAUUCUGCAUUGGAGAUAGAAAACUCUGAAGGAAGCUUUAUCUAUUCCAGAAUGUCAUAUAGCUGGUAUAAGGUUCAGGGGGCCCAUGUACAGGUUUGUUACAUGGGUGU
ensembl:lncRNA LINC01608 long intergenic non-protein coding RNA 1608